CCUACGGGAGGCAGCAGUGGGGAAUAUUGGACAAUGGGCGAAAGCCUGAUCCAGCAAUGCCGCGUGAGUGAUGAAGGCCUUAGGGUUGUAAAGCUCUUUUACCAGGGAUGAUAAUGACAGUACCUGGAGAAUAAGCUCCGGCUAACUCCGUGCCAGCAGCCGCGGUAAUACGGAGGGAGCUAGCGUUGUUCGGAAUUACUGGGCGUAAAGCGUACGUAGGCGGUUAUUCAAGUCAGAGGUGAAAGCCCGGGGCUCAACCCCGGAACUGCCUUUGAAACUAGAUAGCUAGAAUCUUGGAGAGGUUAGUGGAAUUCCGAGUGUAGAGGUGAAAUUCGUAGAUAUUCGGAAGAACACCAGUGGCGAAGGCGACUAACUGGACAAGUAUUGACGCUGAGGUACGAAAGCGUGGGGAGCAAACAGGAUUAGAUACCCUGGUAGUCCACGCCGUAAACGAUGAUAACUAGUUGUUCGGGCACUUGGUGCCUGAGUGACGCAGCUAACGCAUUAAGUUAUCCGCCUGGGGAGUACGGUCGCAAGNUUAAAACCUUAAAUGAAUUGACGG
rnacentral:rRNA from 1 species